rnacentral:rRNA from 1 species
UACGUAGGGGGCAAGCGUUGUCCGGAAUUAUUGGGCGUAAAGAGCUCGUAGGCGGCCUGUCGCGUCGGAUGUGAAAGCCCGGGGCUUAACCCCGGGUCUGCAUUCGAUACGGGCAGGCUAGAGUGUGGUAGGGGAGAUCGGAAUUCCCGGUGUAGCGGUGAAAUGCGCAGAUAUCGGGAGGAACACCGGUGGCGAAGGCGGUUCUCUGGGCCUGACCUGACGCUGAGGAGCGAAAGCGUGGGGAGCGAACAGG